rnacentral:lncRNA from 10 species
CCUCCUUAAGCCCCUACGCAGCUGAAAGCUGGAAGCUGAAACGUUUUCAACUUGAGCAGACAGGUUGAAGAUGCUGCCAAACCAUGUGGAAAUACAUUGGUAUAGACUGGAACUUUGUUUCCCUUGCCUGCCAAAAUCUCAGAUGGAGCUUUAGGACUCAUGGAAGACCUUCCUCAAGGGGGACUUGAAGUGCUCUGGGAAAAAUAUGCGAGUGUGACCCUUUCCAGGGGGCAGCACGAGGAUGGCCAAACCCGCUACUCUCCCUGGGGCUGGGUCAAGGCUCAAUUGGAAUAAUCUGGAGAAGCUUUUCUACAAUGUCUACACUCCAGGGCCCACACCUGCCAAUGAAAUCUGUACCUUAAACCUGAAGAGGACCAGGUAUCAAUAUUCUUUGAAAAGCAGCCCAGAUGAUGCAGCUAGGUAGGUGUGGGAUUAACAGCACAGCCGGGAAGUUUCAAAUUGGAAGCACUUCAGAAACUGUCAUAUGCGAGAAAGAUGGUAUCUCAUUCAGACCGACCACCAUUUCCCAAAGAUUUCUCCCAGAUCACUACUUCCUCAAGAUGCCCAGAGAACAUAAUUCUGUGACCAAAUGCGUAUGAGAAAUGCUGCCAACUGCUGACUCCUAUCUUUGAGACUUAUCUACGUAGUGCUUUUAGUGCUUUUUUGUUAUGACCUUGGCUCACUGCAGCUUCACCCUCCUGGGCUCAAGCGAUCCUUCCACCUCAGCCCUUCAAGUAUCUGGGACUACAGACACCUGCCACCAUGUCUAGCUAAUUUUUGUAUUGUUUGUAGAGAUGGAGUUUCACCAUGUUGCCCAGGCUGGUCCUGGUCUGAAACUCCUGAACUCGAGUGAUUCUCCAGCCUCAGCCUCCCAAAGUGCUGAGAUGACAGGUGUGAGCCACUGUGUCUGGUCUGUAGUGCAUCUUAAUGUCUCUGAGAAAACCUGUGACCAAGAAAACUAUUACCUCGGCUUAAUCCAGUAAUUUUCCAGGAAAGCUGCUUUUUUAUUUCAUAGCACCUAACACCCUGUGGACCUCCAGAAAUGGUGAUUCACGAUGAGGAGGAAGAGUACUGAGCCCUGUCAAGGGCAGCAUUGGGUGAGGAGCCUCUCAAUUACAUGUUAGGAAGUGAAGACACCCAGACCUCGGAUUCCAAUUUUGAUGCUUCAGUUUUAAAAUGGUGGGGGGUGAGGGGCUGAUGGAGAAGAGUCUUUAUGGACACAAAUGGACCAGGGUGCUUUGACCUUUUGUUCUGUGGUCUCCUCACUUAUUAGGUCACAUAACCUUCAGUGGGCUACAUAAACCUCUUUUCUCAUCUUUAGCAGAACAAAAAUCUGUGGUCUGGGCUUAGGGGCCAGUUGGACUGGGCUUUGGUCAUUGAUUCGCGCUGGUCUUUGAAAUGUGAGUGGAAGGGACAGACAGGUGUUGAGUCCAAGCAGAAGCCUUCGAUGUUCUUGUGUGGCUUGGCUCUGCCUCUGUGCUUCUCCCUCCUCCUUGAGAACAAUAUGCCCCACAUGGGAGCUGCUCCUUUAGCCAGGCCUCCAGGACCAGAGGACAAAUGGGGCUGAGCACAACCAAGCCCAGCUGAGCCAGGUCAGGGUUCAAUGUAGCCUGAACAUGAAAUAAAUGUUUAUAAUUUUAAACCAGGAAAAUUUUGGUAUAGUUUAUUAUAACAAACUGCAAUCUAUAAACCUGAUUUGGGUCUGAUUUAAAGAAACCAAACAACCUCUAAAAAUUAGGAGGUAAACAGGAAAACUUGUACACUGACGUUAAGAAAUUGAUGUCAUUUUUUUUUACAAGAUGUUAUAGGACUGUUUCACUUGUGUUUAGGUAAAGAAUCCUUAUCUUCAGUGAUCCACGCUGAAAUACUUAUGCAUGAAACGGUAUAAUGGAAGGACAGGAAAGUGGGCAGAGUCAUAAAUGAAGUAAGAAUGUCCAGGUGUUGAUAAUUAUUGAAGCUGGGUAACGGAUAAUUGGGGGUUUACCAUAUUAUUCAACUUUUGUUUAUGUUCAAAAUUUUCUCUGAUUAAAAAGCUAGAAAAUCAACAUUCACACAAACUCUUCUCCAUAGGUUGAAAAUAGGUGGAGUAUCUUGUUAGGAUUAUUAUAAUCUUUUAAUUUUAUAGCACUGCCAAUGAGCCAUCCCUGCCAUAAAAGAGUCAGCCAGAGAUAACUGGUGACUUCCACCACGUAAUUAUUAUCACCGUUUAUUUCAGUGGAAACUGCUGCCUGUUUGGAUUUGGAGAACACUAAGAAAGAGAAAUGAAGAUCUGGAGAAUUCAAAGGAUAAUUAUCCCUUUUGAAUAUUGACACACUUACAUGUUUUUCCAGACGUAGAUUUUGUGUAGGCGAAAGCUAUUUGAUUAUAAAAGAUCCGGUUUCU